CCUACGGGAGGCAGCAGUGGGGAAUAUUGCGCAAUGGGCGAAAGCCUGACGCAGCGACGCCGCGUGAGGGAUGAAGUUCUUCGGAUCGUAAACCUCUGUCAGCAGGGAAGAACGGUCACUUUGCUAAUCAGCAGUGAAUUGCCGGUACCUGCAAAGGAAGCACCGGCUAACUCCGUGCCAGCAGCCGCGGUAAUUCGGAGGGUGCGAGCGUUAAUCGGAAUUACUGGGCGUAAAGCGCUCGUAGGCGGUAUGUCAAGUCAAGGGUGAAAUCCCCGCGCUCAACGUGGGAACUGCCUUUGAAACUGGGAAGCUGGAGUGUGUGAGCGGAUAGUGGAAUUCCAGGUGUAGGGGUGAAAUCCGUAGAUAUCUGGAGGAACAUCAGUGGCGAAGGCGACUAUCUGGAACAUAACUGACGCUGAGGAGCGAAAGCGUGGGUAGCAAACAGGAUUAGAUACCCCUGUAGUC
rnacentral:rRNA from 1 species